GGAGGAUCCAAGCGUUAUCCGGAUUUAUUGGGUUUAAAGGGUGCGUAGGUGGCUUUUUAAGUCAGGGGUGAAAGACGGUAGCUUAACUAUCGCAGUGCCUUUGAUACUGAAGAGCUUGAAUGAACUAGAGGUAGGCGGAAUGUGACAAGUAGCGGUGAAAUGCAUAGAUAUGUCACAGAACACCAAUUGCGAAGGCAGCUUACUAUGGUUUUAUUGAUACUGAGGCACGAAAGCGUGGGGAUCAAACAGGAUUAGAUACCCUGGUAGUCCACGCCCUAAACGAUGAAUACUCGAUGUUGGCGAUAUACGGUCAGCGUCUAAGCGAAAGCGUUAAGUAUUCCACCUGGGGAGUACGCCCGCAAGGGUG
rnacentral:rRNA from 1 species